CGAUCGGGUAGUAGGUAAGCGAUGGGGUGACGCAGGAAGGUAGUCCAGCCCAGGCGAUGGUUGUCCUGGGGUAAGCAUGUAGGGCGUGUCGUAGGUAAAUCCGCGGCAUUUAAGCCUGAGAUGUGAUGCCGAGCCGAUUGUGGUGAAGUGGAUGAUCCUAUGCUGCCGAGAAAAGCCUCUAGUGAGUGUUGUGGCGGCCCGUACCCUAAACCGACUCAGGUGGUCAGGUAGAGAAUACCAAGGCGAUCGGGUGAACUGUGGUUAAGGAACUCGGCAAAUUGCCCCCGUAACUUCGGGAGAAGGGGGACCUCUGUUGGUGAUGGGCUUUACGCCUGGAGCUGGUGGGGGUCGCAGUGGCCAGGGGGAAGCGACUGUUUACUAAAAACACAGGUCCGUGCGAAGUCGUAAGACGAUGUAUACGGACUGACGCCUGCCCGGUGCCGGAACGUUAAGGGGACCGCUUAGCUGACGUGAGUUGGCGAAGGUGAGAACUUAAGCGCCGGUAAACGGCGGUGGUAACUAUAACCAUCCUAAGGUAGCGAAAUUCCUUGUCGGGUAAGUUCCGACCUGCACGAAUGGCGUAACGACUUCCCCGCUGUCUCAACCGCAGACCCGGCGAAAUUGCACUACGAGUAAAGAUGCUCGUUUCGCGCAGCAGGACGGAAAGACCCCGGGACCUUCACUACAGCUUGACAUUGGCGUUUGGAACGUCUUGUGUAGGAUAGGUGGGAGACUGGGAAGCUGUCACGCUAGUGAUGGUGGAGUCAUUGGUGAAAUACCACUCUGGUCGUUUUGAACGUCUAACUCUGGUCCGUGAUCCGGAUCGGGGACAGUGUCUGGUGGGUAGUUUAACUGGGGCGGUUGCCUCCUAAAGAGUAACGGAGGCGCCCAAAGGUUCCCUCAGCCUGGUUGGCAAUCAGGUGUUGAGUGUAAGUGCACAAGGGAGCUUGACUGUGAGACUGACAGGUCGAGCAGGAGCGAAAGCUGGGACUAGUGAUCCGGCAUCGGCGUGUGGAAGCGGUGUCGCUCAACGGCUAAAAGGUACCCCGGGGAUAACAGGCUGAUCUUCCCCAAGAGUCCAUAUCGACGGGAUGGUUUGGCACCUCGAUGUCGGCUCGUCGCAUCCUGGGGCUGGAGUAGGUCCCAAGGGUUGGGCUGUUCGCCCAUUAAAGCGGUACGCGAGCUGGGUUUAGAACGUCGCGAGACAGUUCGGUCCCUAUCCGCUGCGCGCGCAGGAGACUUGAAGGGGGCUGUCCCUAGUACGAGAGGACCGGGACGGACGAACCUCUGGUGUGCCAGUUGUACCGCCAGGUGCACGGCUGGUUGGCUACGUUCGGAAGGGAUAACCGCUGAAAGCAUCUAAGCGGGAAGCUCGCCUUGAGAUGAGGUCUCCCACCACGAGAGUGGGUAAGGCUCCCGGUAGACGACCGGGUCUAUAGGCCGGAGGUGGAAGCACGGUAACGUGUGGAGCUGACCGGUACUAAUAGGCCGAGGACUUGACC
rnacentral:rRNA from 1 species